GUGCCAGCAGCCGCGGUAAUACGUAGGUGGCAAGCGUUGUCCGGAUUUAUUGGGCGUAAAGCGAGCGCAGGCGGUUUCUUAAGUCUGAUGUGAAAGCCCCCGGCUCAACCGGGGAGGGUCAUUGGAAACUGGGAGACUUGAGUGCAGAAGAGGAGAGUGGAAUUCCAUGUGUAGCGGUGAAAUGCGUAGAUAUAUGGAGGAACACCAGUGGCGAAGGCGGCUCUCUGGUCUGUAACUGACGCUGAGGCUCGAAAGCGUGGGGAGCGAACAGGAUUAGAUACCCUGGUAGUCCACGCCGUAAACGAUGAGUGCUAAGUGUUGGAGGGUUUCCGCCCUUCAGUGCUGCAGCAAACGCAUUAAGCACUCCGCCUGGGGAGUACGACCGCAAGGUUGAAACUCAAAGGAAUUGACGGGGGCCCGCACAAGCGGUGGAGCAUGUGGUUUAAUUCGAAGCAACGCGAAGAACCUUACCAGGUCUUGACAUCCUUUGACCACUCUAGAGAUAGAGCUUCCCCUUCGGGGGCAAAGUGACAGGUGGUGCAUGGUUGUCGUCAGCUCGUGUCGUGAGAUGUUGGGUUAAGUCCCGCAACGAGCGCAACCCUUAUUGUUAGUUGCCAUCAUUUAGUUGGGCACUCUAGCGAGACUGCCGGUGACAAACCGGAGGAAGGUGGGGAUGACGUCAAAUCAUCAUGCCCCUUAUGACCUGNGCUACACACGUGCUACAAUGGGAAGUACAACGAGUUGCGAAGUCGCGAGGCUAAGCUAAUCUCU
rnacentral:rRNA from 1 species